GGUUCCAGGCCUCAUACUCAUUGCUGCUGCUGCUGCUGCUGCUGCUAAGUCCUUCAGUCAUGUCCAACUCUGUGCGACCCCAUAGAUGGCAGCCCACCAGGAGGCUCCUCCAUCCCUGGGAUUCUCCAGGCAAGAAACUUCUGCAAGUGGUCCUUCACAUCACAGUAGAGAAAACCUAGAACCCAUUAGAAACGGAAAGGCAUCAGCACAGUAGCAUGGAAUGGCUUCAGAGGGAGCAUAAACUGGCCUACCACUUUGAGAAUACUGCAAACGCCCUGGAAGAGGAGAUGAAAAGGGUUCAGAGGCAAUAUUCUCCUGUAAGGGCAAUGGAAAACUUUCACACCUCUGAAAGUGCUCUUUACAGGAGUUCAGGACUGCUUUUGAACCAUUAUCGAAAUGAUCAACAGAGUAGCAGAGUCACCAAACAUAUUUAUUUUCUCAAGUGGAUGACAAGCAGUAGGAGCAGAAAUCAUGUAAGUACACCUUUUAAUCUCAUUCGCCUUCGGUGUUUCCCUCCUCAUCUUGUGCUAAGUGGAUGAGCCAUGAAUAUGUGUCCUUUUGACCAACGGUGAUGCUGCUGCAGUUCCCAAAAUCCUCCAGGUGGUUCUCUCCCACGUUUUAUUUUCAACGGCACACCAACCAGUCUAGUAGUUCAGUUAUUCAUUUAUUCAUUAGCUUGUGCCUUUAUUCAUUCACUUAGUUUGUGCUUUACUCAUUCACUCAUAUUUUUUAAGUCCUUGCUAUGCCUUAGGCACUAUUCUAGAGUUGAUCUAUUGCCUUUUUCUCAACUAUCUGUUUAAUUUUGGGUACUGAGUUUUUUUAUCACAGAGCCAGACCACUUCUCCUAUUUGCCAUAUAAAACAAGGAUUGAGUGUACUGGAAAUGUUAUUCUGCUAUAAGUAUAGCUUAGCACAUGGUACCCAGAUGAGCUGUCUUACGGUAUGAGAAGGGGCUAAGGUGUGGACUGAUUCCUUUGGCUUCCUAGAUGGAGCGCUAGAUUUCUGUAGUUGGCAAAUGUCUUGCCCAAGGGACUUAGACCUUGGUAUUUGAAUGUGUACUGGACUGAGUUAAUUCUGUCUUGCUUUUUAAAUAGCUUCUAAUGUUUACUCAGUAGAAGCAGAGUUAAAUGGUCCCAAAUACUCCAAAACUCAUGAAUCAGAAGAAUGUUAGAGCCCUAAUGUAAAAUUCCUGAUGUAAAGAAAACUUUGAUCUUUUGCCCCUGCUGCCUGAUCAGCCCUGAGUCGGCCAUUCGUGCCAGAAACAGGCACUGGACGAACUGUGGUUUGGGAGGGAAGUUUCUGAGUUCCAAAAUUCUUCUGAGCUGUACUUGCCAUGAUUUUUAUGCUAGUAUUGCAUCAAAGCUCUUCUUUGGUGAAGAAGUUGCCAUAUAUGAUUAAAAAUAAUUUGGGGGGCAGGAUUUCUACCAGGAAUUGAACAAACAAUGUACUGUCUUAUCCUGGUUCCAAAUUCCUAAUGCAUCUGCUUUGUACAGUCCCCAUUUCAUAAAACUACAAUUCCUCAUUUGUCUGAGUUCCUUCUGCUUGUGUGCUAGCAGUCACACCCCUUUAUUUUUGGCCCUAAAGGCACCUUCCCAAGUUUGGGAAAGCCUCUGAUUUGAAGUCACAGAAGCCCUAAAUAAUGCAGUUGUUGCAAGCGUCCUUGCUCAACAUUUAGCAAGCUACCCCAUUGCUUUUCCCCAGCAGAGCAGAUAUUGUAAAACGGCUGACUCCUCAACUAGUUUCCUGAAGAGAACUCCCGAUCUCCGCUCCACUUUCCUUCCAGAGCCACCAUCUUGGAUUCUGAUAGUUUUCCAGUUUCUCUCUCUUGAAACUCCCUAGUCAAACAUAUGCGGCCACACAGAAGAAAUCAGAUGUUUUGUUUGCUUAAUUAUUUUUACCUGAAGGUGCACCCUGAGUCUGUGAGUCAACUUGUAGAAAUUUCUAGGUUCCACCAGCUUUUGUGCUGGGCCUCAGUCUCUCAGCUGUGAUCCUAGAACUUUUCCUCAUACGCCCGAUGCCUCCUUUAGACUUAGAUAUUUUUUUAUUUUGUUUGUUUUUGAUACAAAUCUCUAUCUAUAUCAUUGGGUGUGUGUGCUCUGUCGCUCAGUUGUAUCUGACUCU